rnacentral:lncRNA from 1 species
GGAGUAAUAAAUUUAUAUGAAUAUGAAAAAAAUCCAUAAAUUUAAAUCGAGGAAGAGAAGAAGUUCAUCACAAAAAAUUACUAACUUUUAAAAAAUAAACAAAUAAAAAUUACAACUAAACACAAAUGAGAGAAGGAUGAAUGAAUUAUGAAAGGAAAAACAUGCACUUGCUUCUUAGAUCUGGUUUUCAUUUGCAAAAAUCAACUUGUGCAACUUGUCAAAUGGAAAACACAUUUAAAUCAACUUCUUAGAUUUGGAAUGAAAGAAAGAUUCAUGAGACUUGUUGGUGCGUUUUUUUUCUUCAGAGAACUUGUCAAAUGGAGGUAAAGGAAAACACAUCUUGUUUAGCAUAAAAGGAGUUUGGUGUGUGACUGUAUUUGUUUGUGGGAAAUGAGAAUUGAGAUCAGAGAAGAACAAGGUUCUAGACACAUAAUAAAU